AACGCGAAGAACCUUACCAAGUCUUGACAUCCCAAUGACCGGAACUUAACCGUUCCUUCCCUUCGGGGCAUUGGAGACAGGUGGUGCAUGGUUGUCGUCAGCUCGUGUCGUGAGAUGUUGGGUUAAGUCCCGCAACGAGCGCAACCCUUAUCCUUAGUAGCCAGCAAGUAGUGUUGGGCACUCUAGGGAGACUGCCAGGGAUAACCUGGAGGAAGGUGGGGAUGACGUCAAAUCAUCAUGCCCCUUAUGAUUUGGGCUACACACGUGCUACAAUGGCGUAAACAAAGAGAAGCAAGACCGCGAGGUGGAGCAAAUCUCAAAAAUAACGUCUCAGUUCGGAUUGCAGGCUGCAACUCGCCUGCAUGAAGCUGGAAUCGCUAGUAAUCGCGAAUCAGAAUGUCGCGGUGAAUACGUUCCCGGGUCUUGUACACACCG
rnacentral:rRNA from 1 species